rnacentral:rRNA from 1 species
UACGUAGGGCGCAAGCGUUGUCCGGAAUUAUUGGGCGUAAAGAGCUCGUAGGCGGCUUGUCGCGUCGAAUGUGAAAUCUCAGGGCUCAACUCUGACAUUGCAUUCGAUACGGGCAGGCUAGAGUUCGGUAGGGGAGACUGGAAUUCCUGGUGUAGCGGUGAAAUGCGCAGGUAUCAGGAGGAACACCGGUGGCGAAGGCGGGUCUCUGGGCCGAUACUGACGCUGAGGAGCGAAAGCGUGGGGAGCGAACAGG